AUACGAGGGGUGCAAGCGUUGUUCGGAAUUACUGGGCGUAAAGGGAGCGUAGGCGGAGAUUCAAGCGGAUUGUACAAUCCCGGGGCCCAACCCCGGCUCUGCAGUCCGAACUGGAUCUCUUGGAUAGUUCAGGGGCAGGCGGAAUUCCUGGUGUAGCGGUGGAAUGCGUAGAGAUCAGGAAGAACACCGAUGGCGAAGGCAGCCUGCUGGGGACUUAUCGACGCUGAGGCUCGAAAGUGCGGGUAGCAAACAGGAUUAGAUACCCUGGUAGUCCGCACCGUAAACGAUGCAUACUGGGUGUCCGGGGGUUCCCCCGGGUACCGUAGCCAACGCGUUAAGUAUGCCGCCUGGGGAGUACGUACGCAAGUAUGAAACUCAAAGGAAUUGACGGG
rnacentral:rRNA from 1 species